GGAAGUCUUUCCUAUGAUGGUUAAUUUGGAGCUUGAAAUCUUACAUUUUUUGAUUUUAGUGUAAGCGGGCCCUUAACUUUUAGCGCUUUAAAAUUCAA